rnacentral:rRNA from 1 species
AUUGAACGCUGGCGGCAGGCUUAACACAUGCAAGUCGAGCGGAGCGAGGGUGCUUGCACCUUAGCUUAGCGGCGGACGGGUGAGUAAUGCUUAGGAAUCUGCCUAUUAGUGGGGGACAACAUUCCGAAAGGAAUGCUAAUACCGCAUACGUCCUACGGGGGAAAGCAGGGGAUCUUCGGACCUUGCGCUAAUAGAUGAGCCUAAGUCGGAUUAGCUAGUUGGUGGGGUAAAGGCCUACCAAGGCGACGAUCUGUAGCGGGUCUGAGAGGAUGAUCCGCCACACUGGGACUGAGACACGGCCCAGACUCCUACGGGAGGCAGCAGUGGGGAAUAUUGGACAAUGGGCGGAAGCCUGAUCCAGCCAUGCCGCGUGUGUGAAGAAGGCCUUUUGGUUGUAAAGCACUUUAAGCGAGGAGGAGGCUACUAGUAUUAAUACUACUGGAUAGUGGACGUUACUCGCAGAAUAAGCACCGGCUAACUCUGUGCCAGCCGCCGCAGUAAAAC